GACGGAGGAUGCAAGUGUUAUCCGGAAUCACUGGGCGUAAAGCGUCUGUAGGUGGUCAAAUAAGUCAACUGUUAAAUCUUGAGGCUUAACCUCAAAAUCGCAGUCGAAACUAUUAGACUAGAGUAUAGUAGGGGUAAAGGGAAUUUCCAGUGGAGCGGUGAAAUGCAUUGAGAUCGGAAAGAACACCAACGGCGAAAGCACUCUGCUGGGCCGACACUGACACUGAGAGACGAAAGCUAGGGGAGCAAAUGGG
rnacentral:rRNA from 1 species